rnacentral:rRNA from 1 species
AAAAUAAAAUUUGAUUUUAAAAAAAUUUAAUUUUUAAACUAGGAUUAGAUACCCUAUUAUUUUAAGCUUAAUGUUGGUAGUAAGUAAAAAUUAUGAAAUCAUAAAAUUUUGGCGGUAUUUUAAGCUUGUUAGAGGAAUUUGCUCUAUAAUGGAUACAACGCCUAUAUCUUACUUAAUUUUGUAAAUAAAGUCAGUUUGUAUACCACUAUAUUUAAUUAUAUUGAAUAAUUAUAUUUAAGAUUUUUAUACAAAUAUAUAUUAAGUCAAGGUGCAACAAAUAAUUA